ensembl:lncRNA
AGGAAACUUCCAGAGACAGAGCUGUCUGGCCUGGCAUCCAGGGACUGAGCCUACUGUAGAGUUACAUCCUCCAGAAGCAGGAAACGUAUGGAAUCAUUUGAGCUUAAGAGACUGUGACAUUUUUAUAGAAUGAAAGGAGUAACUGAGAGAUACAGUGACAGAGCUGGGAGCUGCAGCUGGCUGGCUGUUCCAUGGAGCAUUCCCUUCAUAGAUUUUUAUGACUCUCCUAGCCCUAAUAUUAAACACUUGACCUUUUUGUCAAAUACUAUUUUAUAUUAUUAGGUUGGAUGAUUAGUUACUAAAUAUACCAUCUAUAGUAAAUAGGAAAUUGUGUAGUCUGAUGCUUUUAGUCUUAGACCUUUCAGGUAUUGGUCCUUUGGCAUUUAACAUUACAACAUUGAGUGCUCUUAUAUUAAGUCCCUUGGUAAGCAAGAAGUGCACAGCACUUUCACAUAGGGCAGAGGAGUUUCUGAAGCAGAAUUACCAGAGUGGAGAAUGCUGUAAACAUUGUAAAGUCAGGGAUAACUAGGAGCCAGCUGUUGCUGAACAAUGCACCUUAAUCUACAGCCUAGGAAUAAGAGCAUUUACUUUUUAAAAUUCUAUAAACCAGAACUUUGUAAAUGCCUCUUCCCUGUACCUCUCUCCCUGGUGAACAAUUCUAUCCAUCCCCUCCCUUAUCACAUGCAAAAUAGUACUGAUGUUAGAAGCAGAAUUAAUAAUUGGCUUUUUUACCUCUCCCUCCCAGCACUUCAUGCCCUGUUUUGGGAAACCCUGCUGCAAGCCACUCCCUCCCAUAAAUCCCACCUCAAAUAUUUGGAUUUAAAGUGCUCCACUGCCACUAUGGGACUACUCUGGAAGCACAGAAGGAGUCUUCUCAGAAGCUUUGACAACUAUAGAAUGAGGCUACUCACUCCAUUGCAAGGCAGAGAAAAAUGAAUUAAAAAGGACAAAUAACAUGUGUUCUCCAUACUGUAAAUGACCUGACAAAUGCAUGCUGGCCUGAUUACCUUGAUGCCUGGCUUUCUUCAAGACAACUGGAUUAGGGACAAACUCUCUGGUUUGGCAAAGUAGCUCUGUAGGCCGAGUACUGCACCUCUUGGUAAGGCUUACCACUAUGUCCAAUAAAAACAGGUGACCAGAAGAGUCUGAAAUUUUUAGCAGAUAUAUAAAAGGAAGAAUAUAUUAAAUUAAGUUUAUAGAAGAACAAGGAGGAUGACCAAACAAGAGCCAUGCUGGUAAUUUCUUAAUUACUCUAUCUGCUAAAGAAAUAGGUAACAUUUAGAUAAAUUACAUAGACUCCAUGUAGCACAAAGAAGUUACUGUUCUUCCUCCCACUCCCUUAAUGAAAUUUAUGAUUCUGCAAUUUAUUAAAUCCUUCUCUCACAUGUGGAAAUACAAAAAAAAAAAAAAAAAAAAAAAAAAAAUCUUCAAUACACCCCCAGAGGAGCACAAGAGGCAGCCAGCUGAUGUAAACAGCAUGUCAGCGUUUUAUGCAGGAACUAAGAGUACUAAAAAGGAGAACCACAUACUUUAGAAAAAUUCUUGAUAGUGUUGGUGUUCAGGUUAGGCUGUCCAGGGAGAGAACUAAUGUGUUCUCAAAUCAUUACUGUGGAUUUUUGGCGACUGUAGUACCAUUCAUGAAACAGCUACCCUGAUCUGUCAUGUGAACACCCAACAUUUCAUGUCUUUCUGACUAGAUUUUAAGGAGAAUAUUGUGGUGCCCUCAUGUUUCAUGCCCUGAAAUUACAAACUGUGUGGUGACCAUCAUAGUAUUUAACAUAUAAAUUAAUUUAGUAUAAAAAACAGCUCUAAAGAACUGCAAGCUUUGUUA